rnacentral:rRNA from 1 species
UACGAAGGGGGGCUAGCGUUGCUCGGAAUUACUGGGCGUAAAGCGUGCGCAGGCGGUUGUGCAAGACAGAUGUGAAAUCCCCGGGCUUAACCUGGGAACUGCAUUUGUGACUGCACGGCUAGAGUGUGUCAGAGGGGGGGUAGAAUUCCACGUGUAGCAGUGAAAUGCGUAGAUAUGUGGAGGAAUACCGAUGGCGAAGGCAGCCCCCUGGGAUAACACUGACGCUCAUGCACGAAAGCGUGGGGAGCAAACAGG